UCGCAUAGCCCGUUUGUUUUUGGGAAGGGACAGGGAGGCGUCUUCUCCUCUCCGUCUCCGUCUCCUCACAAAGUUCUUGCAGCUCUUCAUUCUGUGAUGGUAGUGAAGAAUAGUCUCUGAUUCCUGGCGUGCUGCUGCUGUGUGUGUGUCACAGAGCGGAGAGCGAGGGGGAGGUGAAAGUUCACCAUGGCUUGGCCAUAUCAGGUGACAAUGUAGAAAAGUUUGGCUGCCUCCUCAGAUUAAACUUCUCAAACUCGGAGAAUGACAAGCGAACGGAAAUAUAACGGAGUGGACGGAGAAAACGAAGCGCUGUUGUUCGAUUAUUUUGAUGACGAUGAUGAUUUCGACACAUUCGAGGACGGAGACUGCGGCUGUGAAGAAGGAGUGCUGGGCUUCAGUGAUCCGUUCAGCAGUGAGGUGAAACCUCGGAUCCUGCUCAUGGGCCUGAGGCGAAGCGGCAAGUCUUCCAUUCAGAAAGUUGUGUUCCACAAGAUGUCACCCAACGAGACUCUCUUCCUGGAGAGCACUAAUAAGAUUUGUCGGGAGGACGUUUCCAACAGUUCCUUUGUCAGCUUCCAAAUCUGGGACUUCCCUGGUCAGAUUGAUUUCUUCGACCCCACAUUUGACUAUGAGAUGAUAUUUCGUGGCACAGGGGCUCUCAUCUUUGUCAUAGACUCUCAGGACGAUUACGUGGAGGCAUUGAGUAGACUUCACCUCACCGUGACAAGAGCCUACAAGGUCAAUCCUGACAUCAACUUCGAGGUCUUCAUCCACAAGGUGGACGGCCUUUCAGAUGACCACAAGAUUGAGAAACAGAGGGACAUACACAAACGAGCCAAUGACGAUCUAGCCGAUGCUGGUUUAGAAAGAAUACACUUAAGCUUCUACUUGACAAGCAUCUAUGAUCAUUCAAUCUUUGAGGCCUUCAGUAAAGUCGUGCAGAAACUCAUCCCUCAACUUCCCACCCUUGAGAAUCUGCUCAACAUUUUCAUAUCUAAUUCAGGGAUUGAAAAGGCUUUUCUCUUUGAUGUGGUCAGUAAGAUUUACAUAGCAACCGACAGCAGCCCGGUGGACAUGCAGACCUAUGAACUAUGUUGUGACAUGAUAGAUGUGGUUAUCGACAUCUCAUGCAUCUAUGGGUUGACUGGAGAUGAGGUGGGAACACCUUAUGAUAAAGAAUCCAUGGCCAUUAUCCACUUGAACAACACUACGGUCAUGUACCUAAAAGAGGUCACCAAAUUCCUUGCCCUGGUGUGUUUCCUCAGAGAAGAGAGUUUUGAGAGGAAAGGACUUAUCGAUUACAAUUUCCACUGUUUUAAGAAAGCCAUAGAAGAGGUGUUUGACGUGCGCUUGAAAGUGCAGAGGAGUCGGAAGCUUCUGAGCCAGAGGAGGUGGAGCAGGCAGACCGUGCCAAACGGGACUCAGGUGUAUCCUCACUGAAGAGCACUGAAAGCCCUCCAUCCUGUUACAGUGACUCCAGAGUGACGGCUUCACACAGACUUCGCUUGUGCUUUCAAUCGUCUUCAGGGCCACCUGCUGCUCUUCAACGAUCCAAAAUGGAAAAAAUAUAAAUAUAUACAGUGGAUUCUGUUGUGCAUUUAAUAUCUUGCACGGCUAACUUAGCCGUUCAUGCAAAGUUCGUAAAGCCAUCCGCACUUAGCUUUUGCUUGCAAGGAACAAUUCACUUCUUUGGCGUCACAGGAAGUUAAAGUUCCUGCCUCCGCCCCGGCACUAAUAUCAUGUAACUGAUUUCACUGGUUGGUGUGUGUUGUCAGGGUUAAUGCGUGUGCAGUGGAAGUGUCUCGUUGUGGGAUUAGAGAACCAGCGCUAAUCCCAGGGGAUACCUUUGCUUCAGCAAUGAAGGCUGAUGGGUAAAUCUCAUGAGGUCAGAGCCGCUUACGCAAGAGCUGCUCCUCUCUGGAUGGACACUAAAUCAUCUGUAGUGAAACUACAAUGUGUUAUGUAAGACAAUUUCAUGUUUAGUCUUAUAAUCUCCAUCAGAGGGCCAAACGCUAUUUACUCAGCGAGAGCAGGAACGCAUCUGUGACUGAGGGCUUUUCCUUUUGCACUUAUGUAUUGUCAAGGCACAUGGGUGAAGUGAAGAACUCCAAACUCUCUUUUAGUAUGAAUAUAUUAGAAUCAAAGAAGGACUCUUUCCAAGCAGCAUUUGAAAUAGUGUUACCAUGUCAAAACGAAUGUAAUUUAAAUCUAUCAGCCGUAGUUCUCAGUCACAACUAGUCAGCAGCUGAAGUGAAUGUACCAAUCAGAGGCUGUCAUAGAGGAUUAGAUUGCUUCAAGACUUAAGCUGUCGCUCCACAUUAAGAAAAGGCUUUAUGGGCUCUUCACAUGGUCUUCACUGAUUCUGUGAAAAGAGAGCAGUCUUCAUGUAACUUGUGCUGUCAGACAUGAGGUACACAUUGGACACAUGUCAGGUUAUCCAGAUAUUUCCGUUCUUGUGUGCUACACAUACACACUGUUGGUGGAUUUUCAAUGUAUAUUUAAGCUUCUCAUAGUUUGCGUAUUGCUUGUUAUUGUGCAACAUUAUGAUCGAAGCACAAAUAAUGUAUCUUUUGGUAAAAAUUUAAAUUGUUAAAGGAAUAGUUCACCCAAAAAUAAAGAUAUGCUGAAAAUGUACCCACCCUCGGGCCAUCCGAGAUGUAGAUGAGUUAUGUUUAUCAAAACAGAUUUGGAGAAGUUUAGCAUUACAUCAGUGGAUGCUCUGCAGCGAAUGGGUGCUGUCGAAAUGAGAGUCCAAACAGCUGCUAAAAUGAUGCGAGGUGAUGUGAAGUCCAGAGGAAUUCUCUUCAGUUUCAACCUGUGGGAUUACAAAUUUAGAAAAUGUUAAAUCUAGGUUCCAAUAUAAUAGUAGACUUUUUGGGGUAAUAAAGUUGAGAUCCAAGAAGCUCAAAUCAGGAGAAUCAAGUGUCUGAGACAUUAACCUUUUGUCUUUGUGUUCUUCCUUGAAGCUCAAGGCACAGCUGUGCCUUUUGUCUCUAUGAUAAUGUGAAGGUAUCCGUGAUACUGUCAGGCACCUCUGUAUUUAAAUGACACUGUUAUGCUGAUAAGAUCAAGGCUGGGAAGUUGCCAGUGUCUGGAAUCUUCCUGAUUGCAUUUGCAUGCUUUGUUAAAAUGGUCUCCACCUCUACUGUAUAGAUCCCUCCCACUUGAAUGUAUAAAAACUACAAUGUCUUAAGGACAAAUUAGACCUCUUGAUGACUGCAGCGCCACGCAGAGCGUUCUCAAUAAAGAAUCCUGCUGAAGAUUACCCAAGAGUCUCCUGGUCUUCGUUUCUGAGUUUCCAACAGUUUUUGGUGCCGUGACCCGGAUAGAGCUUCUCACCUGAAUCCAGAUUGAAACUGCAACCUCAACAAAGAUCAGACUUCAUUCCACACUGAAUCUUUCUGUACAACCAAUGGUUGGUGAGUGUACCUCUAUCCAAAAGAACCUUUAAGACCAGAACAAAUUUGUUAGCCUCUGCACCGUCAGAGAAGAGUUAACAGACAGCUGUAGGGUUUGGUUAACUAAGUUACCCUCUAAAAAGGAUAUUUUAGAGAUGAAAAUAAUCCUCUGUAUAGGCAGGGAAUAUUAGCAUCACAAGCUAAUAUUUUGCUACCCUCUGUGUCUGACAGGGAAGUUUAGCAUAAAGUGCUAGAAGUUUGUGUUAAGUGACCCUCUAAAAAGGAUAUUUUAGAGAUGAAAAUAAUCCUCUGUAUAGGCAGGGAAUAUUAGCAUCACAAGCUAAUAUUUUGCUACCCUCUGUGUCUGGCAGGGAAGUUUAGCGUAAAGUGCUAGAAGUUUGUGUUAAGUGACCCUCUAAAAAGGAUAUUUUAGAGAUGAAAAUAAUCCUCUGUAUAGGCAGGGAAGAUUAGCCUCACAAGCUAAUAUUUUGCUACCCUCUGUGUCUGACAGGGAAGUUUAGCGUAAAGUGCUAAUAGUUUGUGUUAGAAGUGUCCUUUUGUGUCAGAAAGACAUUACAAAAUGUUGAGAAGAAAUCCUAAGCUGAUUCCAACAACUAAGAAAGGUGGACUAGCUACUCCUUCAUGGACAGACAGUGAGUUCAAAUCAUUGUUAGGACAGCACAUGGACUCAAUAGUGACAGAGUCAGUCAGAUUGGAUUUGAUAAAGAAAUUUUGUAUUGAUCCAGAAAAAGUAUGGUCAAUUGAAGAAUGUAAAAAGGUACUAGGAUCAUGUAUUCGCAAAAACAAUACGAAAGGCAUUAUCUGCUGCCACAGAGAAUUUGGUUUAGCACUAGCUACGCAACAUUCUCAGCGUACCUCAGAACUAGAGGAACAGAUCAAAAAGCUCAGAGCCAGAGUAUCCUCUUUGACUAAGAAACUGAAUCGCAACAAAGCUGCAGCAAAAACUGAUGUGGAAGAAGUUAGUCAGACUGAUAACAAUUAUCCUGACUUACAAGCUUUCUUUGAAACAGAUGUAGCCAUCCAGUCAGUAACUGAUGUAACUGUAGAUUCUGUAGACAGUGUAGCUACUUGGGAAAGAAACUCUGAUGUCAAAGCCACAGUAAAGAUUGCAGCAGCAUCUUUUCAGGUCAAAACAGAGAACCGACCUAAACGUAGAAGUCCUAAGAAGGAGGGCAGUUGUCAUUUUUGUGGUAAAACUGGACACUGGUUGAAAGAGUGUAGGAAAAGAAAGAAGACAUUAAGAGAAAAUUACUCAGCUCCUACUCAGUCUACUUACCACUCUGAAGCUGCCCCUCCCCACGUCACCUAACUGCUGGAGCAGCUUGCUCAGGUGUUAACUGUGAGGGCUGUGAGUGCUUAACUUCCCCAGUAAUGUGCAACAAAGAUGAAACAUCCUUUGUAAACACAUUGACUGUCACUUCCUUUCAUUGAGAGAACGUUAAGUACACUCACAGCCUUCAAAGCUAUACUAAAGCACACUCCAGUCACUCCUAUUCUUUUUGGGUUAUGAUGUCUUGUUAUGACUGAUGUUUCAUUAGAGGAUGGAGAUGUCACACAGUAAAGUUUUCACACCAGCUACAGGGACAGACUAGGACACACACAGACCAGUGAGGAGCCCAGGGAAGAACCGAAGUGCAACAGGCCUCGGGGGCCAACCCUGUGGUGAAGACUUCCUCAUAGGUUUCCCCUAUCCAUAGUUUUAUCCCCACCUCACUGGUCCAUAGGUGUCAAAUUACUUAAAACUAGUUUGAGAAAAACACUAUACAAUCACCAGACUUAAAACCACUAUACGAUCAACAGAAGUCUAAAAAUGUUUAUGCAUGAAUACUGCUGGUCUGCUGUUUCUUUGUUUUCUUGUGUUGCAGGUAUGCACGCAUGAGAAGUCAUUUCCAUAUGUGACAGCCUGGUAUGAAGCAUCACUUCAGACAUCCAUGAACAAGCUUCAUGAGUACAAAGAGUCAUCUGAGUGAAUCAACAUGGGAAAUGGACUACAGAAAACAGACUUCACAGCUAUUCGGACGCCAUGGACUUCAAGACUUCCACUCCUAUGCUACAUGAUUUUUUCUGUGUAAUCAUGUCGUUUUUACAACAUGUUACCAUCCAUGCCAUAUGUGUCAACCGUUAUGGUUCUAAAAAUACACCUAAGUAAAUCUAGUAUAAGACACAGAAUAAGUUAGACGUGCCUGUAACCUUUUAAAGUUACAUGACUGAAGAUGGGGCUUAUGUUAACAAAGAUAGGCCAUAGAAUGGACUUAUGAACGUUUAAAUUUGUAUUAUGUGAGAGUUAUUAGAACUCUCAACGGGAGGACUGUGGGAUUACAAAUUUAGAAAAUGUUAAAUCUAGGUUCCAAUAUAAUAGUAGACUUUUUGGGGUAAUAAAGUUGAGAUCCAAGAAGCUCAAAUCAGGAGAAUCAAGUGUCUGAGACAUUAACCUUUUGUCUUUGUGUUCUUCCUUGAAGCUCAAGGCACAGCUGUGCCUUUUGUCUCUAUGAUAAUGUGAAGGUAUCCGUGAUACUGUCAGGCACCUCUGUAUUUAAAUGACACUGUUAUGCUGAUAAGAUCAAGGCUGGGAAGUUGCCAGUGUCUGGAAUCUUCCUGAUUGCAUUUGCAUGCUUUGUUAAAAUGGUCUCCACCUCUACUGUAUAGAUCCCUCCCACUUGAAUGUAUAAAAACUACAAUGUCUUAAGGACAAAUUAGACCUCUUGAUGACUGCAGCGCCACGCAGAGCGUUCUCAAUAAAGAAUCCUGCUGAAGAUUA